rnacentral:misc_RNA from 1 species
GAUGAAGAACGUAGCGAAAUGCGAUACGUAAUGUGAAUUGCAGAAUUCAGUGAAUCAUCGAAUCUUUGAACGCAUAUUGCGCUCUUUGGUAUUCCGAAGAGCAUGCUUGUUUGAGUAUCAGUAAACACCUCAAAGUCUUUUUUUUUUUCUUGAAGAAAAGACCUUGGACUUGAGCAAUCCCAACUCUUCUUUCAGAAGAGGCGGGUUGCUUGAAAUGCAGGUGCAGCUGGACAUUCUCCUGAGUUAAAAGCAUAUUCAUUUAGUCCCGUCAAACGGAUUAUUACUUUUGCUGCAGCUAACAUAAAGGGAGUUUGACCAUUUUGGCUGACUGAUGCAGGAAUUUCACAAGAGUCUUCAAAACGCUCUUGUUAAACUCGAUCUCAAAUCAAGUAAGACUACCCGCUGAACUUAAGCAUAUCAAUAAGCGGAGGA